CAGCACCUCAAGUGGUCAGGAUGAUUAUUGGGUCUAAAGGGUCCGUAGCCGGUUUGAUCAGUCUUUUGGGAAAUCUGACAGCUUAACUGUUAGGCUUCCAAAGGAUACUGUCAGACUUGGGACCGGGAGAGGUAAGAGGUACUACAGGGGUAGGAGUGAAAUCUUGUAAUCCCUGUGGGACCACCAGUGGCGAAGGCGUCUUACCAGAACGGGUCCGACGGUGAGGGACGAAAGCUGGGGGCACGAACCGGAUUAGAUACCCGAGUAGUCC
rnacentral:rRNA from 1 species